AUUGAACGCUGGCGGCAUGCCUUACACAUGCAAGUCGAACGGCAGCACGGGUGCUUGCACCUGGUGGCGAGUGGCGAACGGGUGAGUAAUACAUCGGAACAUGUCCUGUAGUGGGGGAUAGCCCGGCGAAAGCCGGAUUAAUACCGCAUACGAUCUACGGAUGAAAGCGGGGGACCUUCGGGCCUCGCGCUAUAGGGUUGGCCGAUGGCUGAUUAGCUAGUUGGUGGGGUAAAGGCCUACCAAGGCGACGAUCAGUAGCUGGUCUGAGAGGACGACCCGCCACACUGGGACUGAGACACGGCCCAGACUCCUACGGGAGGCAGCAGUGGGGAAGUUUGGACAAUGGGCGAAAGCCUGAUCCAGCAAUGCCGCGUGUGUGAAGAAGGCCUUCGGGUUGUAAAGCACUUUUGUCCGGAAAGAAAUCCUUGGCCCUAAUACGGUCGGGGGAUGACGGUACCGGAAGAAUAAGCACCGGCUAACUACGUG
rnacentral:rRNA from 1 species